rnacentral:rRNA from 1 species
GUCUACGGCCACACUACCCUGAAUGUGCCUGAUGUCGUUUGAUCUCGGAAGCUAAGCAGGGUCGGGCCUGGUUAGUACUUGGAUGGGAGAUCACCUGGAAAUACUGGGUGCUGUAGGCU